GCCACUGCGACAUUGCCGGUAGCGGGCUUCGAAUCAACGGUUUGCGCGAAGGGAGGUUGAAAGCGUCAACUUGAUAAUGGAUUCUGAAUUAAUGCAUAGUAUUGUAGGAAGCUACCUUAAACCUCCAGAAAGAGUGUUUGUUCCAUCAUUGACCCAGAGUGAUGAAUCAUCCCAGACUUACCGCUCUGUGAACUUAGAAGUUACCUCUCCUAAAAUGCUUCAUAGUCCAAAUAGCCAAGCUCUUAUUUUAGCCUUAAAAACUCUUCAGGAAAAGAUUCAUCGUUUAGAGUUGGAGAGAACACAAGCUGAGGACAACCUGAACAUUCUUUCCAGAGAAGCAGCACAGUAUAAAAAGGCCUUGGAGAAAGAAACAAAUGAGAGAAAUCUGGCACACCAGGAACUGAUAAAGCAGAAAAAAGAUAUCACUAUACAGUUAAAUUCAGCCCAGUCUCGCUGUACUCUUCUAGAGAAGCAACUGGAAUAUACAAAGAGAAUGGUUCUCAAUGUAGAGCGAGAGAAGAAUAUGAUCCUAGAGCAACAGGCCCAGCUUCAAAGGGAAAAAGAACAAGAUCAUAUGAAGCUGCAAGCAAAACUUGAAAAGCUUGAUGUCUUAGAAAAAGAAUGUUUUAAACUUACAACAACUCAGAAAACUGCUGAGGACAAGAUUAAACAUUUAGAAGAAAAACUUAAGGAAGAAGAACAUCAGCGUAAGCUAUUUCAAGACAAAGCAUCUGAACUUCAAACUGGACUUGAAAUGAGUAGAAUUUUAAUGUCAGUAUCAAAUCAAAAACGCUCCAAGGAGAAGAAGAAAUCUUCAAAGAAAACUAAAUGUUUAAAGAGAGGAUCACAUCAGCAAACUUAUUCAAAGUUUGAAUCACUGCCUAAUAUGGCUGAGAAGUCUGCCAGUGCAGGAUGUUCUGUGAAUAGAAGUAUGCAAAGCCUCCUGCAGAUGAUGCAGCGUUAUGGGCCCCAUAUCCUUCAGAAACCUACUGAAGUUACCGAGCCUAGAUGUCUCUACGAGCCUUCUAGAACAACUGCCCAGUGUAAAGCUGAACAUUCUGACUCAAAAAAUUCCCUUUCUAUUUGUGACAAUUUGUCCGAACUUUUGAUGGCAAUGCAGGAUGAGCUGGGCCAAAUGAGUAUGGAGCACAAAGAAUUACUGAAUCAAAUGAAGGAAACUGAAAGUCCUUCAGUCUGUGAAGACAUAGAAUGUGAACUAGAGCAUUUAGUCAAGAAAAUGGAAAUUAAAGAAGAACAAAUUUCCAAACUGAUGAAGCAUCAAGAUAAUGUCCGUAAACUGCAGCAAAAAGUUCAAAACUCAAAGAUAAGUGAAGCUUCAGGUAUUCAGCAAGAAGAUAACAACCCUAAAGGAUCAAAGAACAUAAAAAAUAGCCCCAGAAAAUGUUUACUAACUAACUCUCUUCAGAAGAACAGCAACUUUCAUCCAGUACAAGUCCAUAAUCUUCAAAUGAAAUUGAGAAGAGAUGAUAUCAUGUGGGAACAAUAAUAACACAAUAGUAAAGCUAUCACCUUAAAUGAACUCUUGCCAAUGAGAUCUUGAAUUGUCUAAAGUGGUUUUAAUAUAAUAUACCUUAAUGAAAUUUUGAAUUAUGUUUCUAGUCUUUAUAAAGUGUCAAGUUGUAGUAAUUUUAAAUUAAUGCAUAAUGACCUCCUAAGAGUCCCAAAUAAUAAAUGACUGUGCUUUUGUUUCUUACGGACUGAAAUACCUAAUCUCCAUGUUUUAGACCAUCAUUCACUUUUCAGCCUCUUAAGCUAAAUCUAAGAAAUUAUACUAGAUUGAUGGUAUUUAAAAUUGAGUUAAAUCCAAGAUACAAGUACCAUUCCACCUUUCAUUUAGUAGGCUUAUAACCUUAGGAACUAAUAUAAAAUGAACAGUGUAAGGAAAGGUCUUUUACCUUUCCUGAUGCUUCUUCCCUAUCUUAUUUUAUGAGCUAUGAAAUGUUUUUCUUUUUUGGAAAUGGAAGAGCCCUGUAAAGAGGCCUUUAGUCCAAGUUUUUAUGUGAUAAUUAUAAAUAGGAACUCAUGGUUACUUAAUUUUUAGAUGACAAUAACUCAACUGCAGAAGCCUUUUUCUGCAAUUCCUGUUCUCUUUUACAAAUCUAGUGCUGCUUUUUAACACCAGUGAUUUAUUUACCUUAUUCCUUUAUCAGUAAAACUUUUGGUGAGUUUUAGUCUUUGCAUCAUAUAUAAUAUUAAUCAGUAUAAUAUUGCGAAUGUAAAUUUCCAGGAAAACAAAAUUGGGUGUUUUAUUACCUUAUCCAGUUACAAUUCAGAGAAAUAUGAUGCAUUUUUAUUUUUUAUAUUUUUAAGUAAGUGAUAUCAUAAGCAAUGUCUUUGUAUACAUUAGCUUUAUAAUAAAUUUAUACUUGUUGACCUAUCUUUCCAGAAACCUAUGGACACUAGUAUAACUCUUGAACUUUUUUGAGUUUUUUUCACUGAAAUCCUGUGGCAACUAGAGAAUUGAAGUCAUCAGCUGGAGUAGAAAUAGAAGACUCACAGGAAAAGCAUGAUAGAAGGGAGGAACUCAGAAGCUAGGGUAGCAGUUUAAGAGAUGGUGAUUCCAAAGGAUCAGAAUUGGAGCUUCUUCAGCCCCAGAGAUGUUCCACAGAGUGCUUCAUCUGUAUUCAUUUUCAUCACCUUACCUAUUUUUCAACUUUGCCUUUCCUCCUUAAGAAUCCACUGAACUAAAAAUGUGUCCUGCUCACAGACUGCUGCUUACCAGAGCCUUUGACUUCUCAGGGGUGGAGCAAAUGAUUUCCUUCUUGGACAGGGACAAUCUGUGGCCAGUGUACAAGAGUUGCCAUAGCAACCCCACAGCUACGCUCUGCCUGGCAGAGACUCGGUAGGAUAUCGUGGAUUCUGUUCACUUAAGUGAAAAACAGAGAUAUAAUAAACCAGUAAAUGCAAAUCAUGGAUGAAAUUUAUAAGAUCGCUUCCACAGAAAGGAUCCAGCAGCUGGAAAAAGAACUGGCUUUGCAACUCACUGAACUAAAGUCUGAGAUAGAAGAACAGGAGACUCAUCGAGCUUACAGCUCUAUUCGAAUACCAAAGGACAUUUCUUACUUUAGAAGAGAAAGGGAAUUGGCUCUAAAGAAAACUUUACAGGUGGCUGAGUCAAAGCCCCUUGUUGUUCAAGCAGAUGUCAUGCAGAGGGAGCUAGAGAGCUGCCUAAGAAGAGAGUACACUCCUGAAAAUUUACCUUUGCUUCUGUUGCAGUAUUAUACAGAGAGAAUUACCCAGC